GGAGGGUGCAAGCGUUAAUCGGAAUUACUGGGCGUAAAGCGCACGCAGGCGGUUGGAUAAGUUAGAUGUGAAAGCCCCGGGCUCAACCUGGGAAUUGCAUUUAAAACUGUCCAGCUAGAGUCUUGUAGAGGGGGGUAGAAUUCCAGGUGUAGCGGUGAAAUGCGUAGAGAUCUGGAGGAAUACCGGUGGCGAAGGCGGCCCCCUGGACAAAGACUGACGCUCAGGUGCGAAAGCGUGGGGAGCAAACAGGAUUAGAUACCCUGGUAGUCCACGCCGUAAACGAUGUCGAUUUGGAGGCUGUGUCCUUGAGACGUGGCUUCCGGAGCUAACGCGUUAAAUCGACCGCCUGGGGAGUACGGCCGCWAGGUUA
rnacentral:rRNA from 1 species